rnacentral:rRNA from 1 species
CCUACGGGUGGCUGCAGUGGGGAAUAUUGGGCAAUGGUCGCAAGCCUGACCCAGCCACGCCGCGUGAAGGAAGAAGGCUUUCUGGUUUUAAACUUCUUUUCUCAGGGACGAAGCAAGUGACGGUACCUGAGUAAUAAGCCUCGGCUAACUACGUGCCAGCAGCCGCGGUAAUACGUAGGUCGCAAGCGUUAUCCGGAUUUACUGGGUGUAAAGGUCGUGUAGGCGGGACUGCAAGUCAGCUGUGAAAACCACGGGCUCAACCUGUGGCCUGCAUUUGAAACUGGAGUUCUUGAGUACUGGGGAGGUAGACGGAAUUCCUAGUGUAGCGGUGAAAUGCGUAGAUAUUAGGAGGAACACCAGGGGCGAAGGCGGUCUGCGGGACAGCAACUGACGCUGAGGCGCGAAAGCGUGGGGAGCAAACAGGAUUAGAUACCCGAGUAGUC